rnacentral:rRNA from 1 species
UACAGAGGUCUCAAGCGUUGUUCGGAUUUACUGGGCGUAAAGGGUGCGUAGGUGGCGGGGUAAGUCUGGUGUGAAAGCUCCGAGCUCAACUCGGAAAAGCAUUGGAAACUAUCCCGCUGGAGGGUCGGAGGGGAGACUGGAAUUCUCGGUGUAGCAGUGAAAUGCGUAGAUAUCGAGAGGAACACCAGUGGCGAAGGCGAGUCUCUGGACGACUCCUGACACUGAGGCACGAAAGCUAGGGGAGCAAACAGG